UCUUCAGGCGAACAUUGACAUCGAAGUGAUACCCUAUGAUAUCAAGAAAAAUCCUAUGGAACAAAGAAGCAGAUAAUGAUCACAGAAGUGCAACAAAGAGCACCAGGACCUGAUCAUCAAAUGUUAUGGUGUAGAUUUCAUCAGGAACAAGACACCUAAGUUGAACUCUGGCAAGGUUGUCCAGAAGGUUUGAUACCCAGGCUUCUUUUGUACAAGUCCCUAGUCCACCCUCAUCUUGAGAACUGUUCCGGUGUCUGGGAUCCCUACAACAUCUCAGAUGUCCAGGACGCUUCUUCACAAUGGGGACCACAAGAGAAGCAACAGUUUGACUGAGAUGAUCAGCACCUUUUAGUUGCCUACUAUAUCUACAACUACAAGGCACUCUGCAAGAAGACUGGGAAUGGUGCGCAAGAUAGUCAAUGGUCUCUCCGCUCUUCCUUGAAAAUUUUCCCACUGCACUACUUAUAGCUAUUUGCGCCCUCUAUAUAGCAAACAAUGCCUAAUCUGUGCCUGUUGGUCCCCCAUGAUCCUCUUUUUCUUAUAUUAAUUGAGAGCUGAUUUGAUGAGAUAACCACCUGUCAGUGACCUUGCAGGGUGGUCUUAUCCCCCUGGCCAAACUAGUACAGACGGGCUUUAACAAAUCACGAGCAGGAAGUACCAUGACAUGACCCUCCA